rnacentral:rRNA from 1 species
GAUGAACGCUAGCUACAGGCUUAACACAUGCAAGUCGAGGGGCAGCAUAAAUCUAGCAAUAGAUUUGAUGGCGACCGGCGCACGGGUGAGUAACACGUAUCCAACCUACCUAUUACUCGGGUAUAGCCUUUCGAAAGAAAGAUUAAUCCCCGAUACGAUAUUGAGUUCGCAUGAAUUUAAUAUGAAAGAUUUAUUGGUAUUAGUUGGGGAUGCGUUCCAUUAGAUAGUUGGUGAGGUAACGGCUCACCAAGUCUUCGAUGGAUAGGGGUUCUGAGAGGAAGGUCCCCCACACUGGAACUGAGACACGGUCCAGACUCCUACGGGAGGCAGCAGUGAGGAAUAUUGGUCAAUGGGCGAGAGCCUGAACCAGCCAAGUAGCGUGAGGGAUGACUGCCCUAUGGGUUGUAAACCUCUUUUAUAAGGGAAUAAAACGCUCCACGUGUGGAGCUCUGCAUGUACCUUUUGAAUAAGGAUCGGCUAACUCCGUGCCAGCAGCCGCGGUAAUAC